UUGAUCUUACCAAGCUUAUUAGGAAAUCUGUGUCCAAACAAAACACAAGGAAGACAAAAUGCACCAUCUAAUUUGGAACUGUUCAUGCCUUUUACUCUUUCCCUAAAAGAAGCAACAUCAAAUUCAUGAUCACAGGUGGAAUUAGAUGCCAGAGGGGCACGGCUAGAAAAAGAAGAGUAAAAUUUAUCAAUAGCAUCACUUUUUGAUGAUGACAGGGAUGAUGUUGGUGUUUUAAUGGACCCAUCAAAUUUGGUUGCACUUAAAGAGCCUUGAGGAUAAAGACUUUUAGAACAAGAAGUUAAAAAUGACAGUUUAAACAGAGUUGUACUUUUGUUUGGUUUAGAAGAAGGAAAAGUGCAUUUUCUCUUAAGCCCUUUUGAUAAGAUAAUAAUGGAACAUAAUUAUUGUGCUGAAAUGAUGAAAAGGAAUCAAGUAAACCUUCAUAACAAAAUAAAAUUCUUAUAUGAGCAAAA